GACGAACGCUGGCGGCGUGCUUAACACAUGCAAGUCGAACGGAAAGGCCCCUUUGGGGGUACUCGAGUGGCGAACGGGUGAGUAACACGUGAGUAACCUGCCCUUGACUUCGGGAUAACUUCAGGAAACUGGGGCUAAUACCGGAUAGGAAUCCUUGCUGCAUGGUGGGGGUUGGAAAGCUUCGGCGGUUUUGGAUGGACUCGCGGCUUAUCAGCUUGUUGGUGGGGUAGUGGCUUACCAAGGCUUUGACGGGUAGCCGGCCUGAGAGGGCGACCGGCCACAUUGGGACUGAGAUACGGCCCAGACUCCUACGGGAGGCAGCAGUGGGGAAUAUUGCACAAUGGGCGGAAGCCUGAUGCAGCAACGCCGCGUGCGGGAUGACGGCCCUCGGGUUGUAAACCGCUUUCAGCAGGGGCGAAGCUUGUGGUGACGGUACCUGCAGAAGAAGCACCGGCUAACUACGUG
rnacentral:rRNA from 1 species